rnacentral:lncRNA from 1 species
UGUAAGGUACCGGAUUUUAAAUAUAAAAUUGGAAAUAAAUAAAAAUAGUAUGAGAUACUAUUUUUAUUGGAUUUAUAGAAGUAAAUUAUAAGUCUAGAGUGACCCGUGUUGAAAUGGAAGCGAAAACAGAAAUUUAGAAUUUUCUGUGAGAGACAGGGCAGACGAAAAAUAUCUGUACCGUGCUGCUUAACUGAAUGUGAAUAGUGUCCUUGGAUA